GAUGAACGCUAGCGGCAGGCCUAAUACAUGCAAGUCGGACGGGAUCCAUCGGUAGCUUGCUAUCCAUCGUGAGAGUGGCGCACGGGUGCGUAACGCGUGAGCAACCUGCCUCCAUCAGGGGGAUAGCCUCUCGAAAGAGAGAUUAACACCGCAUAACAUAUCAGACCGGCAUCGGUCGGAUAUCAAAUAUUUAUAGGAUGGAGAUGGGCUCGCGUGACAUUAGCUUGUUGGUGGGGUAACGGCCCACCAAGGCGACGAUGUCUAGGGGCUCUGAGAGGAGAAUCCCCCACACUGGUACUGAGACACGGACCAGACUCCUACGGGAGGCAGCAGUAAGGAAUAUUGGUCAAUGGGCGGAAGCCUGAACCAGCCAUGCCGCGUGCAGGAUGACUGCCCUAUGGGUUGUAAACUGCUUUUGUCCGGGAAUAAACCUCCUUACGUGUAGGGAGCUGAAUGUACCGGAAGAAUAAGGAUCGGCUAACUCCGUG
rnacentral:rRNA from 1 species